CUAGAUUUCUUUGAGACUUAUCUUCUGCGCCGUCUGCCUUCCCUUCAGCCUUCUUCUUGUAUUUUCACUCACGCCCUGCCCCUGCCUUCUUCUUCUUCAAUCUUCACGCCCAGGACGUCGUGCCUUCUUCUUCUUCUUUAAUCUUCACGCCGUCGUCGCCUGCCUUCUUCUUCUUCACACCAUCUGACGCGUCAUCACCGUCCAAUCCACUGCACACCCACGACUCCACCAGCACACAUGUCUUCUUCUUCGGCCUUACACGUUUUUAGAUCUGGUGAUUUCUGAAGCAAACGGAGCAAAAGAAGGAGGCGGUUAGUUUCGGUGCAUACCGAGUACAUGGAGGUGUUGAAAUGGAAAACCUUGAAUGUCACACGCACAUUGAUCGGCGACCCACGAAGAGGGCGCAUAUGGGCUGGGACGUUCUUCCUCAGAUCCCAAAGGUAAUAUUCUAUUGUCAUGAACUUGAUUUCGUAGCACUUUGUGGUCUGGUAUUCCUUUACGUAAAAGGAUCAGAGGUUAUAUUUUUCUUACCGACGGUUCCUUCAAUCCAAUUUUCUUUGGUUCUUCAUCAGUGCAACAUGAAUAUUCCUCAAGCUAUCCUGGGUAUGGAUGUCAUUUGACAAGAGAAGUCUAGAAUGGGUAAAACUGCUGUUUUUGUUCUUUUAACAUUGCAACAAAUUAAACCUGUUGCUGGACAAGUUUCUGCAAUUGUGCUGUGUCAUACAAGGGAGUUAGCUUACCAGAUUUGCCAUGAGUUCGAGAGGCUCAUAGUUUUAUGCAUAGUUUUAUCAGAUCCAAAUCUGAUGAUAUCAAUUUUAUCAGAUCCAAAUCAGUAAUUGUAAAAAAUCUGGAACAAGUUGAGAUUUUAUUUGGCCUUUUGUACAUUAUAAAUCUGGGAAUCAUCUUAUUCAUCUACACGAAGACUGAUGUGAGGAAUGGUGGGGAGGAAGUCAUUCAGGAGGAAUGGGGAGGAAGUCAUUCAGCUGGGCCGGUCUAGGAAAAGGAAGAAAUCUAAUAGAAAGAAUAAUUGGGCUAAACGUAGAUCAUAGUCCAACUGAGCAGCAGCCAAGUUAAGUGAAUGCAGGGUGGCAAGGGGGAAGUGCAACCCUUUAGGCUUUAGAGUUGAGAUUACAUUGUUUUAAAUUGUAAUUUGUGUUGUAUUUUAGUUAUUUAUGUAAAUUUUAUUUUUUAGUUUAGUUACAAUUAUGCUUAUUUCAUUUUUUUGUAUUUUUUUUUUCUUGUAAUUCAAGAUUUAUUUUUUGAAAGUUUCUUGUAAUAUUGUGAAUUUUGUGUGCCUGAAAUAAGUUAUUUAGUAUUUUUAGAAUAAA